GAUGAACGUUGGCGGCGUGCCUAAUACAUGCAAGUCGGGCGAAUGGAUUAAGAGCUUGCUCUUAUGAAGUUAGCGGCGGACGGGUGAGUAACACGUGGGUAACCUGCCCAUAAGACAGGGAUAACUCCGGGAAACCGGGGCUAAUACCGGAUAACAUUUUGAACCGCAUGGUUCGAAAUUGAAAGGCGGCUUCGGCUGUCACUUAUGGAUGGACCCGCGUCGCAUUAGCUAGUUGGUGAGGUAACGGCUCACCAAGGCAACGAUGCGUAGCCGACCUGAGGGGGUGAUCGGCCACACUGGGACUGAGACACGGCCCAGGCUCCUGCGGGAGGCAGCAGUAGGGAAUCUUCCGCAAUGGACGAAAGUCUGACGGAGCAACGCCGCGUGAGUGAUGAAGGCUUUCGGGUCGUAAAACUCUGUUGUUAGGGAAGAACAAGUGCUAGUUGAAUAAGCUGGCACCUUGACGGUACCUAACCAGAAAGCCACGGCUAACUACGUGCCAGCCGCCGCCGUAA
rnacentral:rRNA from 1 species